GUGGUAAAAUCCUACCUCGUCCUAGUGAUGGAAAGCUCAGGUAUGUUGGAGGUGACACACGCAUUAUACGUAUAACUAGGGACAUCUCAUGGCAGGAGCUUAAGCAGAAAAUUAUAUCGAUAUAUGACCAAGCACAUGUGAUAAAAUAUCAACUUCCUGGAGAGGAUCUUGAUGCCUUGGUUUCUGUUUCAUCUGAUGAGGAUCUGCUGAAUAUGAUGGAGGAAUGGAAUGAAGUUGAAGAUAGGCAAGGCAAGAAUCACAAAAACUUAGAAUGUUUCUGUUCUCCAUGAGUGAUUUGGAGGAUGCUCAGUUUAACUUGGGCAGUUUGGAGGGUGAUUAUGAGAUUCAGUAUGUAGUUGCAGUUAAUGGCAUGGACUUGGGAUCAAGAAAAAACUCAAUUGUACAUGGUUUGGCAGGCUCUUCGGGAAAUAAUUUAAGUGAGCUAGAUGGAUUAAAUAUUGAUGGGGAGAUGAGUAGCGUGGCAGCUGUCUCUGUUGGGGUCAGUACUUCACCUUUGACUAGCACUUUCCAAUCUGCUCAACCAGUUCUUCAGAAUUUCUCCAGUGCACAUGAAACCCAUCUGCAGUGUUAUCAUGGCCAAAUGAUGGACCAUAGAGAAGCUCAGCAAUUCCUGGCACACUAUCCCCAUGAUUCUUCUAAGUACUCCCCUUCUGAAGAAAUUCCCUAUUCAACCUCCCUUCAGGGGCUUAUGAAUCAACAAGGAGGUUUGAAUGGAGGAAACUCAUGUGGCAGCCAUCAUGGGCAGAAUUCACAGACAUUAGUAAAGGAAGUCAAGAGGAAACCUGAUGGUUCAGUUCAGCAUGAGGUUGGCAAUGAAAAAACUCGUCCCCUAGAAAAGGCUGUUCCAGUUAAUAAAAUAUCAGUUGCAGUUGCUGCACAAGAAGAUCUCCAUUCUCUGCCCUCAAAAAAUGAGGGAAAGCGCCAUGAAUCUGAAAAUGUCUCUUCUUCUGUAGAUGCCUUUAAUCAGGUGCAGAUUUCUAAAUUAUGUGAAGAUGAUCAUUGUUCCCCAUCUAGUAGUACAUUUGGUCUGAGUGGUGC
rnacentral:misc_RNA from 1 species